GAUGAACGCUGGCGGCGUGCCUAAUACAUGCAAGUCGAACGAACAGGCGAUGAUCUUGCUGCUCUGCCGUUAGCCGCGGAGGGGUGAAUAACACGUGUAUAACCUCCCUAUAAUACUGGUAUAACUUGGGGAAAGCGGAUCUAAUACCAUAGGAUAUAUUGAACCACAGUGGUCGAUGGUGAGAUACGGUGUUGGUGGAUCGUAUAGCUGCUUCCGCGCUGCUUGAGCUAGUUGUGAAGGUAACGCCUUACGAAGGCAACCAUGCGUAGCCGACCUGACAGGGUGAUCGCCGACACUGGAACUGAGACACGGUCCAGACUACUACGGGAGGGAGCAGUAGGGAAUCUUCCGCAAUGGGCGAAAGCUUGACGGAGCAACGGCGCGUGAGUGACGAAGGUCUUCGGAUCGUAAAACUCUGUUAUUAGUGAAGAACAAAUGUGUAAGUAACUAUGCACGUCUUGACGGUACCUAAUCAGAAAGCCACGGCUAACUACGUG
rnacentral:rRNA from 1 species